rnacentral:rRNA from 1 species
UUAAAAAAAUUUCCUUUAGAGUAUUUUUUAAAGGUAAUUUUUGCUCAAUGAUUUUUUAAAUAGCUGCAGUAUUCUGACUGUACAAAGGUAGCAUAAUAAUUAGUUCAUUUAUUGUGAACUGGAAUGAAUGAAUAUAUGAGAUACCUAUUUUAUUUAAUUUAGUAUUAAAAUUUUAUUUUUGGGUAAAAAAGCCUAAUAAAUUUAUAGGGACGAUAAGACCCUAUAGAGGUUUAAUUCUAAUUUUAUAUUAUGAUUAUUUUGAAAUUUAAUUUUAAAUUUAUAUACUUAUAAUUUUUUUUGGGGCGGGAGAUAAAUUUAAACUUUAUUUUUUUUUUUCACUAAUUUGUGUUUAAGUUGAUCCAGUUUUUAAUUGAUUAAAAGAAAUAGCUACCUUAGGGAUAACAGCGUAAUUUCAAUGAGGAGUUCUUAUUUAUAUUGGAGUUUGCGACCUCGAUGUUGAAUUAAGAGAAGAUUUUGGGGUAGUUUUUAAUUUUCUAAGUCUGUUCGACUUUUAAAUUCUUACAUGAUCUGGUUC